rnacentral:rRNA from 1 species
UACGUAGGGGGCAAGCGUUGUCCGGAAUUAUUGGGCGUAAAGAGCGUGUAGGCGGUCCGGUAAGUCAGCUGUGAAAGUCAAGGGCUCAACCCUUGAAAGCCGGUUGAUACUGUCGGGCUAGAGUCCGGAAGAGGCGAGUGGAAUUCCCGGUGUAGCGGUGAAAUGCGCAGAUAUCGGGAGGAACACCAAUGGCGAAGGCGGCCCUCUGGCUCGACCCUGACGCUGAGGCGCGAAAGCGUGGGGAGCGAACGGG